GUUCGCUGCUGCGCGGGGAGAGCGAGGCGGGGCCGCCGGGGCCGCCAUGGAGCCCGACUCGGUGAUUGAGGACAAGACCAUCGAGCUCAUGUUACCGAAGUGCAUGUUUGGGAUUUUGUUGAAGAAAGCUGGAUACAGUAAACGGAAAGAAUCUUGGAAGAUGCUUGACUGCUGUCUUUUCUCAGACUAGUCUGAAAGGGAAAACCCCCAUUCAUUCUGGAUUGGUGGAUCUGAAGUACAAAAUAUUUUCCAGAUUUUCAAAUUGCCUGUCUGCAAGAGCAAGGUGUG
rnacentral:lncRNA from 1 species